UACAUUUUUGUGAUGAUACCAUAGUUCAACUGAAAUUUUUUGUGACGGCUAUUGGGAUUCUUUCGCCCCUAUCUGACAUUAUUAU